GACGAGCUACACAAACGUUAUUCGGAAUUACUGGGCUUAAAGGGUGCGUAGGCUGCGCGGAAAGUUGGGUGUGAAAUCCCUCGGCUCAACCGAGGAACUGCGCCCAAAACUACCGUGCUCGAGGAAGAUAGAGGUGAGCGGAACUUACGGUGGAGCGGUGAAAUGCGUUGAUAUCGUAAGGAACACCCGUGGCGAAAGCGGCUCACUGGGUCUUUUCUGACGCUGAUGCACGAAAGCUAGGGGAGCAAACGGG
rnacentral:rRNA from 1 species